rnacentral:lncRNA from 1 species
GGAUGAUCCUUAAGAAAUACAAUCCAAGGACAAUUGAUAUUCACAAACUUUUAACAGAAUCUUGUAAAAAGGAUUGGAUAGAAAUAUUCAAAUGGAUCCUUCGUGAAGUAAGUCUUGCAUCGUCUACUAUUCGGGAGGCAACCAAUGAAGCUUGUCGGAAUGGAGCGUUUAGUAUUGUCAAAUGGUUGCUAGAAAAUAUUGAUGCAAAUGUCAUAGAUCUUGAUAACAUAAUGAAAGAAUCAUGUGGAUAUGGUUGGCUCAAAUGUUUGGAUUUAAUGAAACCACACUUUAAUCGAUAUAAAUUUGAUAUGCUAGCAGCAAUGUGUGAAGCUUGUACCUACAACCGAAUUCAUAUAGCCGAGUGGCUUCUUCAAAAUAUUAGUUACCAACGUUUUGAUAUUCGGUUGCUUUUACAGGAGGCACGUCGGAAUGGAU